rnacentral:rRNA from 1 species
GUAGUUUGAUCGUGGCUCAGAUUGAACGCUGGCGGCAUGCCUUACACAUGCAAGUCGAACGGCAGCAUGAUCUAGCUUGCUAGAUUGAUGGCGAGUGGCGAACGGGUGAGUAAUACAUCGGAACGUGCCCUGUAGUGGGGGAUAACUAGUCGAAAGAUUAGCUAAUACCGCAUACGACCUGAGGGUGAAAGUGGGGGACCGCAAGGCCUCAUGCUAUAGGAGCGGCCGAUGUCUGAUUAGCUAGUUGGUGGGUAAAGGCCCACCAAGGCGACGAUCAGUAGCUGGUCUGAGAGGACGAUCAGCCACACUGGGACUGAGACACGGCCCAGACUCCUACGGGAGGCAGCAGUGGGAAUUUGGACAAUGGGCGAAAGCCUGAUCCAGCAAUGCCGCGUGUGUGAAG